rnacentral:antisense_RNA from 1 species
CUUCACCGACCCCAGCCACAACGGCCGGUCCUCGUCCCGGCCCUGGCCGUAGGUGGCGAUCAGCGCCUGUGCCUC